UAGCAUAUCAAUAAGCGGAGGAAAAGAAACCAACAGGGAUUGCCUCAGUAACGGCGAGUGAAGCGGCAACAGCUCAAAUUUGAAAUCUGGCCUCUUUGGGGUCCGAGUUGUAAUUUGUAGAGGAUGUUUCGGGUACCGCCUCGGCCUAAAUUUCUUGGAACAGAAUGUCAAAGAGGGUGAGAAUCCCGUCUUGGACCGGCGGUAGGGCCCAUGUGAAACUCCUUCGACGAGUCGAGUUGUUUGGGAAUGCAGCUCAAAAUGGGUGGUAAAUUUCAUCUAAAGCUAAAUAUUGGCCAGAGACCGAUAGCGCACAAGUAGAGUGAUCGAAAGAUGAAAAGCACUUUGAAAAGAGAGUUAAACAGUAUGUGAAAUUGUUGAAAGGGAAGCGCUUGCAACCAGACUUGUGCUCGGCGGUUCCCCCUUCCUUUUGGUUGGGUUAUUCCGUCGUGUCCAGGCCAACAUCGGUUCUGGGGGUCGGUCAAAGGCCUUGGGAAUGUACCUACCCUUCGGGCGUAGACUUAUAGCCCUUGGUGUCAUGCGGCCUCCCGGGACCGAGGAACGCGCUUCGGCUCGGAUGUUGGCGUAAUGGUUGUCAGCGACCCGUCUUGAAACACGGACCAAGGAGUCUAACAUCUAUGCGAGUGUUUGGGUGUCAAACCCGGAACGCGGAAUGAAAGUGAACGGAGGUAGGAAGCUUCGGCUGCACUAUCGACCGAUCCUGAUGUCUUCGGAUGGAUUUGAGUAAGAGCAUAGCUGUUGGGACCCGAAAGAUGAUGAACUAUGCCUGAAUAGGGUGAAGCCAGAGGAAACUCUGGUGGAGGCUCGCAGCGGUUCUGACGUGCAAAUCGAUCGUCAAAUUUGGGUAUAGGGGCGAAAGACUAAUCGAAUCAUCUGGUAGCUGGUUCCUGCAAU
rnacentral:rRNA from 1 species